CCCUUAGAUGUCCUGGGCCGCACGCGCGCUACACUGAGUGUCUGAGAUACGAGUCUGCCUGGUCCGGCAAGGUCUAGGUAAUCGCUAAAAGACACAUCAUGCUUGGGAUAGAUUAUUGCAAAUAUUAAUCUUGAACGAGGAAUUCCUAGUAAGCGCAAGUCAACAGCUUGCGUUGAUUACGUCCCUGCCCUUUGUACACACCGCCCGUCGCUACUACUGAUUGGAUGUUUUAGCGAGGUUCUCGAACUGCUAGCGACUUAGCUUCGGUGAGGUCGCAGUGUGGGAAGUGAACCUAGCUUUGGUGUCUAGAGGAAGUAAAAGUCGUAACA
rnacentral:rRNA from 1 species